rnacentral:rRNA from 1 species
UUGUAUCUUAGUGGCGGACGGGCGAGUAACGCGUGAGGAACCUGCCCUUCAGUGGGGAAUAACGGCUGGAAACGGUCGCUAAUACCGCAUGACACAUUGGUACCGCAUGAUACUGAUGUCAAAGGAGCAAUCCGCUGAAGGAUGGCCUUGCGUCCGAUUAGCUAGUUGGUGGGGUAACGGCCUACCAAGGCGACGAUCGGUAGCCGAACUGAGAGGUUGAUCGGCCGCAUUGGGACUGAGACACGGCCCAGACUCCUACGGGAGGCAGCAGUGGGGGAUAUUGGUCAAUGGGGGAAACCCUGAACCAGCAACGCCGCGUGAGGGAAGACGGCCUUCGGGUUGUAAACCUAAGUGAUCAGGGACGAAGGAAGUGACGGUACCUGAAAAGCAAGCUCCGGCUAACUACGUGCCAGCAGCCGCGGUAAUACGUAGGGAGCGAGCGUUGUCCGGAUUUACUGGGUGUAAAGGGUGCGUAGGCGGGAAAGCAAGUCAGGUGUGAAAUACCGGGGCUCAACUCCGGGGCUGCGCUUGAAACUGUUUUUCUUGAGUGAAGUAGAGGCAGGCGGAAUUCCUAGUGUAGCGGUGGAAUGCGUAGAUAUUAGGAGGAACACCAGUGGCGAAGGCGGCCUGCUGGGCUUUAACUGACGCUGAGGCACGAAAGCAUGGGGAGCAAACAGGAUUAGAUACCCUGGUAGUCCAUGCUGUAAACGAUGAUUGCUAGGUGUGGGGGGACUGACCCCUUCCGGGCCGGAGUAAACACAAUAAGCAAUCCACCUGGGGAGUACGACCGCAAGGUUGAAACUCAAAGGAAUUGACGGGGGCCCGCACAAGCAGUGGAGCAUGUGGUUUAAUUCGAAGCAACGCGAAGAACCUUACCUGCCCUUGACAUCCGAAUGACCGGUGAGUAAUGUCACCUUUCCUUCGGGACAUUCGAGACAGGUGGUGCAUGGUUGUCGUCAGCUCGUGUCGUGAGAUGUUGGGUUAAGUCCCGCAACGAGCGCAACCCUUAUCUUUAGUAGCCAGCAUUUAGGAUGGGCACUCUAGAGAGACUGCCAGGGAUAACCUGGAGGAAGGUGGGGAUGACGUCAAAUCAUCAUGCCCCUUAUGGGCAGGGCUACACACGUGCUACAAUGGUGUAAACAAAGGGAAGCAGAGUCGUGAGGCCGAGCAAAUCUCAAAAAUAACGUCUCAGUUCGGAUUGUAGUCUGCAACUCGACUACAUGAAGCUGGAAUCGCUAGUAAUCGCGAAUCAGAAUGUCGCGGUGAAUAAAAUCCCGGGUCUUGUACACACCGCCCGUCA